UACGUAGGGUCCAAGCGUUGUCCGGAAUUACUGGGCGUAAAGCGCGCGCAGGCGGCCCGCGAGGUGUCACGUGAAAGCCCCGGGCUCAACCCGGGAGGGUCGUGGCAAACCGGCGGGCUUGAGGCCGGUAGAGGUGGGUGGAACUCCUGGUGGAGUGGUGAAAUGCGUAGAGAUCAGGAAGAACACCCGUGGCGAAGGCGGCCCACUGGGCCGGUACUGACGCUGAGGCGCGAAGGCGUGGGGAGCGAACGGG
rnacentral:rRNA from 1 species